GAUGAACGCUGGCGGCGUGCCUAAUACAUGCAAGUCGAGCGAACAGACGAGGAGCUUGCUCCUCUGACGUUAGCGGCGGACGGGUGAGUAACACGUGGAUAACCUACCUAUAAGACUGGGAUAACUUCGGGAAACCGGAGCUAAUACCGGAUAAUAUAUUGAACCGCAUGGUUCAAUAGUGAAAGACGGUUUUGCUGUCACUUAUAGAUGGAUCCGCGCCGCAUUAGCUAGUUGGUAAGGUAACGGCUUACCAAGGCGACGAUACGUAGCCGACCUGAGAGGGUGAUCGGCCAAACUGGAACUGAGACACGUUCCAGAUCCCAACGGGAGGAAGCAGAAGGAAAUCUUCCGCAAUGGGCGAAAGCCUGACGAGGCAACGCCGCGGGAGGGAUGAAGGUCUUCGGAUCGUAAAACUCUGUUAUUAGGGAAGAACAAAUGUGUAAGUAACUAUGCACGUCUGGACGGUACCAAAUCAGAAAGCCACGGCAAACUACGG
rnacentral:rRNA from 1 species